AGGUGGUUGAAGGUUCUUCUUUCUCCAUUUGCACCAGACUAUAUCCAGCAGUCUCUCUUCCAUAGAAAAGGUAUUAAUGAAGGAAGCUGUUUUUCUUUCCUUCGAUUUAUUGAUGUCUCGCCAGCAGAAAUGGCAAACCUCAUGCUUCAGGGACUUUUGGCCAGGUGGUUAGCUCUUUUCCUAUCUCUGAAAGCCUCCUACAGGCUCCAUCAGCUGCGCUCUUGGGGAGAGCCAGAUGGGGAGAGUCAUCAGAGAUAUCUGAGAAAUAAGGAUUUUCUUCUUGGAGUUGAUUUUCCACUUUCCUUCCCCAA
rnacentral:lncRNA from 1 species